UGCAGCAUCACUCCUCCUCCUCCUCUCCCUCGUCGCCUCCUCGCCGGCGGUCAACGCCGGCGCCGCCUCCCCCCACGAGCAGCAGCAGAACGACAAGGUGCUCGGUCUGCCGGGGCAGCCGGGCAACGUCAGCUUCGCCCACUACUCCGGCUACGUCACCGUCAACAAGGAUGCCGGGAGGGCUCUGUUCUACUGGUUCUUCGAGGCGGUUGAAGAUCCGGCGUCCAAGCCCCUCGUUCUCUGGCUCAAUGGAGGGCCUGGGUGUUCUUCUAUUGCCUACGGUCUGGCUGAAGAGUUGGGUCCCUUUCAUAUCACAGCAGACGGGAAAAACCUUUAUCUCAAUCCUCAUUCGUGGAAUAAAGUGGCAAAUAUCCUGUUUCUCGACUCCCCUGUUGGUGUCGGAUUUUCCUACUCCAAUAAGUCCGAAGAUUUGUUGAACAAUGGAGAUGAAAGGACUGCCAAGGAUUCUGUAGUAUUUAUGAAGCAAUGGCUUAAGAGAUUCCCUCAAUAUAAGGGACGAGAUUUCUAUAUAACAGGAGAGAGCUAUGCA
rnacentral:misc_RNA from 1 species